UCCGGUUAGUAAUUGACACACGAGAUAUUUUGAAACAAUUACGUUUUUGACUGCAAUUACUGCUUUUCGAGGAUGCUUCUGUCGAGUUUUGACAGGACAGUAUCCAUGUUCCCUGCACGACGCCCUCCAUUACAGUUGGGACAUUUCCCUGCCAGUUUUCUUCCUCCACCAUGCCCAAGAGACUGGUCCAAUAUUGUUCAAAACUUGAUGGAAAUGCAGUGUCAUCGUACUUUGGAGACAACAAGCAGUUUAUUCGUUUGAUGAGACUGAAAUCCCGUUGAAGGGAGCAGACACUGUUGUGAGCAUAAUGAUCACUACUUUAAGUACCAUGGUUUGGAGAAGAAACACCGAAAUUGGGACUUUGGUCUUUUGAAAAGCAGCAAACAGGCCUGUGUUCGUGCUCUGCAGGUUUGGUGCAUCGGAUAUGGUGUAGUUUACCUUGAUGAAAACAAGAGCAUUUGUGUGACCUGAACUCCUUUCCAAAAUCUGCAUGAAGGGGAUGGAUGUUGAAUGGCAGUGGUAUUAACAUGACAAGAUCAGAGAAUACAGCGGAUUUGACAUUUAAAAAGACAGUGUGCCCAAGACAGUCUCAACCAAAGCAUUGAACAAACUGUACAACAUGUUAAUUAACUUUUUAGAGCUAUUUGUUUGGACUAAUGUUUGUCAUUCAGAAAUAAGUAAUAACAUUAUUUCUCAGUAUAAAAAAACUGUAGGAAUUAGAAAAUGAUAUUUAUUGUAACUAUGUAAACAAACCUCUUAGGGGUUUAGCCAGGUUAAAGAAUGACAGGCAGCCACAGAAAAGAGACAGGUUUCCAUGUGUCAACAGGACACCCUUCAUUUAGCUGUGAAAUUUUUUAACAUUUUGAAUGUUACAGAAAAUGUUUGGAACAUUGUAUAAUGUUUAAUUGAAGUACUAUUAGGUUUCAAGUGCCAAAUAUGUAAAGCCAGUGUGUAUCUAUAGUCAUGUUAUUAUAAAUUUGUUAUCAAAACAAAAUCAAUAUUUGACUGUCUUAAGCUUUUAAUGCUAUGAAGGCAGGAGGUUGCCAAUCUUGCUCUUCAUGGCGGGUGCUUCCAAAAAAGAACAGGGUGCAGCAACCUUCCAUAGCUCUUUAGCUAGAACCCUUAUAUCCCUUUUUCAUCAAAUAACAGUAACAUUGACAAUUAACAAAUGAUGCAGUGAUUUUCUUAUGCUAAUAUCAUCAAUUUUUAUUGUCAUAAAGUUUUCUUCUAGAAGUGAUUUGUACAUGUAAUGUAUUGGAAAUUGAUACUUGUGGU